CUCCUCCUCUCGCUCCUCCUGCUCGCCCGGCGCCCGUUUCUCUCGCUGCCGCUGCCGCUGCCGCCGCCGCCGCUUGUCUCUUCUCCCUCCUCCUCCUCCUCUUCCUCCUCCUCCCGCUCCUCGAUGCUCCGCCGCUCGCGGCUGGGGGGUCCGGGGCCGCGUCUCCUCUCCUCCCUCCGCCUCUCCUGUUUCCUCCUUCCUGCUGCCUCUUCUUUUAAAGCGGAUUCUUUGGCCACAAAUAGCAACUCGGCUGCCCCCCUCGGUGCCUCCCUCCCCUUCUUCUCUUCUUCCCCCCAAAAGUGAAGCGCACGCGAGGAGCUGAAAAGCUGUGCAGGGAUGAUGGACAUCUGCCCCCUGUGACUUAAGGAUGGAUCCAGAAAUCUCAGCCUCCCCAUAGGUAAAGAAACGAAGACCCUGAGAAUUUAAAAUCAUCCAACUAUUUGGUGCCAGAAGCAGGACAAGAACUCAGACAUGAUCCAGUGCCCUCCAUCCCACCAGCUAUUCAUCAUCACCUCCACAUUCUGGAUCAAAGAAGCCAGUUUUCCAACUUAUCAGUGAGCAAUACAUGUAGAAUAUUUAAAAACUCCAAAUACUUACAUGAAGGAAAAAUGAAGCAAUAGGACAAGACAUUUUCUUAGUUCCCUUCCAGCUCUAACAUUCUGUGAUAAAUAGCACACAGGAGCUUUGCUAUAGCACACCCCCCUCUAGUGCAUAAUUCAGCAUACGAUGAGUAUGAGUCUGUUUUGGACCCCAUCCAAAGGAGUUAGUUCCUAGAAGUACUUGGAAGAUUUAUUCUCAUUUAUCAUGAGGCAUCCUAACAGGAGACUAAAAAUAAUCAUGAUGACAAUAAUAGUAAUCAGUUGUUACACUUGUAUUAUGUACUAAGCAUCGUGCUAAGCAUGUUAUAGUUCACCCGUUUUUGAAAAGGCACAUCAUGACCUUGUGUGGGUUGCAAAUCUAGUGGGUCAUAAACAACUUCUGAAAUGAAAGAAAAGUAGGAAAAAACACAGAGUACAGUAUAUGUACUAAGUAUUUUUUUUUUUUUUUUUUUUUUUGCAAAACUUCCUUUUUGAUCAUGUGGCUAGUGAUUAAAAGUUUGAAAGCCACUGCCUCAUUUGCAAUCUUAACUGCCUUGCCAGUUAAGUAUUAUUAGCCCCAUUAUGUAAGUGAGGAAACAGGACAAGAGAGGAUAAGUCAUUUGGCCAAGCUGACAUAGUGAGUGGCCAACCUAGAAUUUUGAACCUAGAUCUGUUUGACUUCAAAUCCAAUAUUUUCACUUCUAUAGUGAUGAUAAAUUAUUAACCAAGGUAUGGAAUAAAUUGUUGCUAAUCAU